rnacentral:rRNA from 1 species
GACAGAGGGUGCAAACGUUGCUCGGAAUUACUGGGCGUAAAGCGCGUGUAGGCGGGUUUUCAAGUCAGAUGUGAAAUCCCCGGGCUCAACCUGGGAAUGGCAGUGGAAACUAGGGGACUGGAAUCUGGCAGAGGGGGGUGGAAUGCCGCGUGUAGCAGUGAAAUGCGUAGAGAUGCGGCGGAACACCGAUGGCGAAGGCAGCCCCCUGGGCUGAGAUUGACGCUCAGGCACGAAAGCGUGGGGAGCAAACAGG